rnacentral:rRNA from 1 species
CCCUGCCAUUUGUACACACCGCCCGUCGCUCCUACCGAUUGGAUGGUCCGGUGAGGUUUUCGGAUUGGCGCAAUGUUUUGGUUCUCCGAUCGCUGUGCCGAGAAGUCACCCAAACCUUAUCAUCUAGAGGAAGGAGAAGUCGUAACAAGGUUUC